GGUUUGUUCCGAAAGGGGGCAUUUGCGUUUUUAUACAAAACCACUGCAUGUGUAGAAUGUCUUACUAUUUGCGAUAAUGCGCAAUUAAUACAACUUUCAACAACGGAUCUCUUGGCUCUCGCAUCGAUGAAGAACGCAGCGAAAUGCGAUACGUAAUGUGAAUUGCAGAAUUCAGUGAAUCAUCGAAUCUUUGAACGCACCUUGCGCCCCUUGGAAUUCCGAGGGGCACACCCGUUUGAGUGUCGUGAACAUCCUUCAACCUUUCUUGGUUUCUUGACCGAGGAAGGCUUGGACUUUGGGGGUCUUUCAUUGCUGGCCUCUUUGAAGCCAGCUCCUCCUAAAUGGAUUAGUGUGGUCUGCUUUGCCGAUCCUUUGACGUGAUAAGAUGUUUCUACGUCUUGG
rnacentral:rRNA from 1 species